rnacentral:lncRNA from 1 species
AUGAAAAUCAUAUAAAUAAACUAUGAGAAACAUUGUUUAAUUCAUAACAUUCAAUACCCCCAACCUUUGUUUUCAAAACCAAAACAACAAUCUUAUGAACCAUACUUUAAAUCACAUGCUUUUGAAAAAUUGUCAAUGAGGGAAGGGUAACAUGACUUAAUCUCCAAGAAGUACGGAGAGAAAUCACUCUUGAAAUCUCCAAUUGAUUAGCUUGAUG